rnacentral:rRNA from 1 species
UAGAGUUUGAUCCUGGCUCAGAUUGAACGCUGGCGGCAGGCCUAACACAUGCAAGUCGAGCGGAUGAGAGGAGCUUGCUCCUUAAUUCAGCGGCGGACGGGUGAGUAAUGCCUAGGAAUCUGCCUGGUAGUGGGGGACAACGUUUCGAAAGGAACGCUAAUACCGCAUACGUCCUACGGGAGAAAGCAGGGGACCUUCGGGCCUUGCGCUAUCAGAUGAGCCUAGGUCGGAUUAGCUAGUUGGUGAGGUAAUGGCUCACCAAGGCGACGAUCCGUAACUGGUCUGAGAGGAUGAUCAGUCACACUGGAACUGAGACACGGUCCAGACUCCUACGGGAGGCAGCAGUGGGGAAUAUUGGACAAUGAGCGAAAGCCUGAUCCAGCCAUGCCGCGUGUGUGAAGAAGGUCUUCGGAUUGUAAAGCACUUUAAGUUGGGAGGAAGGGCAGUAAAUUAAUACUUUGCUGUUUUGACGUUACCGACAGAAUAAGCACCGGCUAACUCUGUGCCAGCAGCCGCGGUAAUACAGAGGGUGCAAGCGUUAAUCGGAAUUACUGGGCGUAAAGCGCGCGUAGGUGGUUCGUUAAGUUGGAUGUGAAAUCCCCGGGCUCAACCUGGGAACUGCAUUCAAAACUGUCGAGCUAGAGUAUGGUAGAGGGUGGUGGAAUUUCCUGUGUAGCGGUGAAAUGCGUAGAUAUAGGAAGGAACACCAGUGGCGAAGGCGACCACCUGGACUGAUA